GAACUUGACAUGAUUACCCGUGACUUUGAGCGUCCUGGUCAUGAUAAUCUGCAGAGAUGACGUCACAAGCGCUGAUUUCGAAAAUUCACUGUACAGCUUUCGGCCAAUCCGAAAAGAGAUAGUGAGUUCAAUGUACAAUAAUAUAAAAAAUCAUUGCUGUAAAGUAAAGUUUUUAAACUUGUUGCAGUUCCCUGUGAUGUUGCCACUGACAUCGCCUGUCCCAGCCAAGCUCCGCCCAUGAAGAAAAUGAAUGACAAGGUUGUGACAGAGAAAGCUACCAGAGCCUCAAAGUUUGCUACGGGGGGUGGAGUUGGAAUGAUUAUCAUGGGCUCUGCAUCAGUGGCGGUAUUUGCAAAGAGAUUUCUCACGAGAGGAAGAGCGAGUUAGAAAUGGAUCUGAAAAACAACAACAAAACAUUGUAGCAACGGUUUACUAGCUACUAACUGCGAGGGUUUAAGUACUGAAAACGGUUUUACGGAUCAGAGAAACCUUCGCGUCCAUGCUGCAUUUGUACCUUUGGUAGGUUUUUAGGAAGUUUUAUUGACUUUUUGUUAAAAGAAAAGGUAAUCCGGCUGCCUUCUCAGUCUGUUACAAGGAAUCGUAAUGAUCUUACAGACUGUACGGAAAAUCAACUUUUCUUUUGCAUACAGAUUUUUUAAGAAUAAGAUAGAGAAAUUAGGAAGUGGAUUCUAUAAGUGGUCAGUAUCAGAAACGGAAAUGAAUAUCGCAACAAGGGCCAGAAAGAAAACACGUCAAUUUCCAUGCAAUGAUAACCAGUUUAGUAAUUCUAAAAUCUGGGAAGGAGAAGACUACUAUUUUCCUCUGCUGCACACCAAAAGUGACGAGGUCACUUUUCCCGUGGAAAGCAAAGGAAAUAGACGUGUGCACGCAAGCUACUGUAAGCGGAAAAAUGAAAAGACAGCUCGGAGUGAAAUAAUCCGUCCAUCCAGUUCAGAGUAAAAUCAAAAGGGAAGUAUUUUUUGUACCUUUACUCUUCAAACUCAAAAGUUACAAACACGUUCAUAAAUACUUGUGACUAUUAAUUGGUAGGCUCGUUGCUAUUGUAAUUUUUGUGUGUAAAUACGUGAUUGCACUGAUAACAAUAAACAUCAUUUUGCAAUGAUUUCACGUAGCCGUCCCUUUUUUGUCCUUGAUCGUCCGAAAGACCCCUUUCUACAAACAAUACUACUUACACAGCCUGCGAACGCAGACGCAUUUGCGGCUGUCGAUUUUUCGGCGGGGACAAGCGACAGCCAGAAAUGCGUCGGCGUUCGCACUUACACUGAAUAUCAGGGAAACGAUAAAUAUCGAUGCAAGGCUAUCAGAGCCUGACCGAAUGUCUAAACAGUUUCCAUUUCAAUCAUAAAACUAAUAUUAAAAUAAAACCAUUUUCUAACCAUUCGUGUCUUACAUGUACAAGUUACUAGUAGUGAUAAGACUAAAAGUUGCGUUCCAAUUAUUAUUUAUUUUUUUUAAGAAAAAAAAAAAAAA